CCCGACUUGGUGUAGUGGUAGCAUAUCUGUAGGCACCAGGAAUGGAAGACCUGGGUUCGAAUCCCAGAGUUUGGGA
rnacentral:tRNA from 1 species